UACGUAGGGUGCGAGCGUUGCCCGGAUUUAUUGGGCGUAAAGGGCGCGUAGGCGGCCAACUAAGUCAUACGUGAAAUCCCUCGGCUUAACCGGGGAACUGCGUCUGAUACUGGAUGGCUUGAGUUCGGGAGAGGGAUGCGGAAUUCCAGGUGUAGCGGUGAAAUGCGUAGAUAUCUGGAGGAACACCGGUGGCGAAGGCGGCAUCCUGGACCGAUACUGACGCUGAGGAGCGAAAGCCAGGGGAGCAAACGGG
rnacentral:rRNA from 1 species